CCAGGCCGCCGGGCGGCCGCGGCGCACGUCUCGUACGCGCGUCGAGGAAAGUCCGGGCUCCGCGGGACAGGGCGCUGGGUAACUCCCAGGCAGGGUGACUUGACGGAUAGUGCACAGAAACACACCGCCUACCCGGUCGACCACGCUCUUUCUGUGGCGACCGGCGGUAAGGGUGAGAUGGUGCGGUAAGAGCGCACCAGCGGUCGGGUGACCGGCCGGCUGAGCAAACCCCGCCCGGAGCAAGACCAAAUAGGGAGACUGAGGCUUGUCCCGGGCCGUCUCCGGGUAGGUCGCUCGAGGCGGCGGGUAACCGUCGUCCCAGAUGGAUGGUCGCCAACCGAUGCCCCGAGCAAUCGGAGCAUCGCGAACAGAACCCGGCUUACAGGCGGCCUGGCAAA
rnacentral:RNase_P_RNA from 1 species